rnacentral:rRNA from 1 species
UACGUAGGGGGCAAGCGUUGUCCGGAUUUAUUGGGCGUAAAGAGCGUGUAGGCGGUUUGGUAGGUCCGCUGUGAAAACUCGAGGCUCAACCUCGAGACGCCGGUGGAAACCAUCAGACUAGAGUCCGGAAGAGGAGAGUGGAAUUCCGGGUGUAGCGGUGGAAUGCGUAGAGAUCCGGAAGAACACCGGCGGCGAAGGCGGUCUGCUGGGCAGUUGCUGACACUGAGGCGCGACAGCGUGGGGAGCAAACAGG